rnacentral:rRNA from 1 species
UACGAAGGGGGCUAGCGUUGCUCGGAAUUACUGGGCGUAAAGCGCACGUAGGCGGCUUUUUAAGUCGGAGGUGAAAUCCUGGAGCUCAACUCCAGAACUGCCUUCGAUACUGAAGAGCUCGAGUCCGGGAGAGGUGGAGUGGAACUGCGAGUGUAGAGGUGAAAUUCGUAGAUAUUCGCAAGAACACCAGUGGCGAAGGCGGCUCACUGGCCCGGUACUGACGCUGAGGUGCGAAAGCGUGGGGAGCAAACAGG